CCGGUCUCCAGAAGAAGCGUCCUAAUAGCCAGAACUUACAGCCUUCCGUGCAACUGAAAGAUCAUUUGCACUAACCGCUGACUUUUUGUUGGGUUACCAGGGGAAAUGGUUUCCCUCUGGCCUUGGUGAAGUGGCUGCCAAGGAUUAUAGAGGCUUCUGAUGGCAAAAAGUCCAUGUUAAACUCUUGGGGAUAGUCAGGGCCAGGAUAGUGCCUCCUAGAGCAGGAGUUGUCUUUUAGCAUUAAGUGGUGGUCCAUGCAGUAUAGCUUCCUGGAGGUGUCUGUGGAGCAUUCAAGAGCUGCCAGGCUGCCAUGACAGUAGACCAGCUGGCUGCCAAGAGGGGUUUGCUUGGAUGGUAGUCAUUCAAGGCAGCCAAGUGCCAGGGAAGGGCUGGAUGGUUGCCAGGGUGACAAAUCACCCUAGCAUCCAGCACUGGUUUUUGUUUUGUUUUAGACAAAAUAAGCAUUAAAGGGGAUUCUUACAAGCCUGUAAGACACUGAAAUGUUUUAGUGCUUACACAUUGUGUGUGUAUGUGUUCACGAGUGUGUGUGUGCCCACACACAUGCAGGUAUGCAGAGAAUGGAGGAGGAUGUACGGUGUUCUGCUCUAUCACCCUCUCUCUUAUUCUCUUGAUUUAGGAUCCUCACUGAACCCGGAGCUAGGCUGGUGGCCAGAAAGUCCCCUGUCUCACCACUACCACCCCAGCCCUGGUGUUACAGACACACAGGGUUUCUCUGUGUAUCCCUGGCUGUCCUGGAACUCACUCUGUAGACCAGGCUGGCCCCAAACUCAGAAAUCCGCCUGCCUCUGCCUCUCAAGUGCUGAGAUAAAAGGCGUGCACCACCACUGCCUGGCUAUUUUUAUUAUUAUUAUUAUUUAUUUAAAAAGUUCAAUAAGGUCUGAACUUGGCAAGUACUAUGUAAGAGUCAGCUAGGAAGUACUAGUUGUGAAGGUAUGAGAGGGGUCGUGGAGAGCAGCUGAGAUUUGGUAACAUAUGGCGGUGUUAGAGUCCCUGUGGAGAGGUCACUCGUGAAGGUGUGGCCUCAAUUACAAAGGAGGUCCCAGGUUACUGCAGAUGCCAAGACUGCUGAAUGUCCACCAAGAACAGCGGCAGGUGUGAUGUGGAACCAGGUUAAACCUGAGACAAGCUGUGUGCUGAGGACUGCAGAGUUGGAGAAGCUGGACUACCCAGGCUUUUGGGUGCUGGUGGGACUGAUAUAGGGCUGAGCCCUGCACUAGUGCUUGGAAUUUUUAAAGAAACCUUGGACUUUUAGACUGCUGAAAAAAUUUAAAGACUUAAAUGUUUGACUGUGUUUUAAAUUAUGACAUUCACACAAGACUUUGGGGGACAAGGAAUUAAAUGGUUAUGCUUAAGGUGAA